UGGGGUAUAGUAUAAUUAUUACAUUUCGCUUACACUGAAAAUAUGGCCUGUGUGGGUCUGCCCUGA
rnacentral:tRNA from 1 species